rnacentral:rRNA from 1 species
GCCUGCGGUUUAAUUGGAGUCAACGCCGGAAAUCUUACCAGGAUCGACAGCAGAGUGAAGGCCAGAUUGAAGGUCUUGCUAGACGAGCUGAGAGGAGGUGCAUGGCCAUCGCCAGUUCGCGCCGUGAGGUGUCCUCUUAAGUGAGGUAACGAACGAGACCCCCACCCCAUGUUGCCAUCAGGAUCUAAAGGAUCGCUGGGCACUCUUGGGGGACCGCUGCCGACAAGGCUGAGGAAGGUGGGGGCCACGGUAGGUCAGUAUGCCCCGAAUAUCCUGGGCCACACGCGGGCUGCAAUGGUAGGGACAGAGGGCUGCAACAUCGAGAGAUGGAGCCAAUCCCUAAACCCUACCUCAGUUGGGAUCGAGGGCUGCAACCCGCCCUCGUGAACAUGGAAUGCCUAGUAACCGCGCGUCAUCAUCGCGCAGUGAAUACGUCCCUGCUCCUU